rnacentral:rRNA from 1 species
UAUGUGAUCGUCUCUCGCAUAUCAAUAAGCGGAGGAAAAGAAACUAACAAGGAUUCCCCUAGUAACGGCGAGUGAAGCGGGAAGAGCUCAAAUUUGAAAUCUUAAAGGGUUUCCCUUUACGAAUUGUAGUUUAAAGAAGUGUUUUCUGUUGAGGUUUUGGUAAAAGUUCUUUGGAAUAGGACAUCAUAGAGGGUGAGAAUCCCGUAUUUGACCUUUACUUUCAACUUUGUGAUACACUUUCAAAGAGUCGGAUUGUUUGGGAAUGCAGUCCAAAAUGGGUGGUAAAUUUCAUCUAAAGCUAAGUAUUGGCGAGAGACCGAUAGCGAACAAGUACCGUGAGGGAAAGAUGAAAAGAACUUUGAAAAGAGAGUUAAACAGUACGUGAAAUUGUCAAAAGGGAAGCGUUUGACACCAGUGUUGUUUUUCUGAAAAUCAAUUAAAGAACUGUUUAUGCUAAGUUGUUUAGACUUUAUCAGCUAACUGUUUAGUUUUGAGCUUUUCUUUAAUGCACUUUUCAGUUAACAAGUCAACAUCAAUUUCUUUUGCUGUAAAAAAGCUUGAGGAAGGUGGCUUGAGAUUCGUCUUAAGUGUUUAUAGCCUCUUGCCUAUGCAGUCGGAGAGAUUGAGGUCUGCAGCGUAGAUCCUUCGGGGCUAAAUGCAUUUGUGCUAAGUUAUAGCAUUUUAUAGACAACUUGUUGACUAUGAUUUGUCUUGUAGCUUACUCGCUUAUGUUAUUUUACCUACGCUUAGGAUGUUGAAGACUCUACAGAGAU